UCCGGUCAUCAGGUUCGGUUGCGGCAGCGGGCAGCCAUGGAGACGGCGCAAUUCUUUAGCUGAUCCGAUGCUGCCAGACCUGCUGACGUUUCCAGUCAUUUCUAUCUUUGUCGUAGGUGUAUGUAUGCUUCUAAUGUUUCACUCCACAAACAUCCAGCCGACCAUCCUGUUGAAUUCCCAAAGGGGGUUUCAGUAAACAAUUCCAUUGGAGCCUUGUGAUUCAGCAAAUACUCCCCACCCCAGCAAGAAUUCAUUGCCAGGGGCAACAAGAUGAGGAAGCCGGAUGGUGGGAAACUUCUAACAACCAGGCAA